rnacentral:hammerhead_ribozyme from 1 species
GCACCGCUGACGAGUUCCGAACAGGACAAAACAACUGUCCGGUGC